rnacentral:misc_RNA from 1 species
UUUAUGGGAAAAAACUGAUUUCACUCUUUCAUUAUUUUCUGGCGUUUUUGAUCGUUUUCAACUGACUACAUUUUAUUUCUUGGUUGCCAAAAUAUUUUCCUCGUGCAGUCGUUACCUCUUUCUUGUGAGGAGAGGGCUUCUGCUUAAUCUAGUAAACCGUAGAUCUUAUCUUGUAUCUGGCAAAGUAAAUAGGCGAACGUGAAUGGAGGCAUGAUCUAAUUGUAAUUUGAGAAAAAUAUCACAGUCAGGAUGCAAAUCGUAGUUUUGAAGCGUAUAUUUUGGUGUUCAAUAAUCUUCGUUAACGUGACCGUUAUUUCAACAACGUUAACCUUACAAAACGAUCACACCAUGAAUUCUUCGACAUUGCAACCCAUGGAAAACAGCUUUAAAGGCUUUUCCGUGUCACAUAAAAUUCGUCAGUAUGAAAUGGAAGAUGUCGUGCUGUGUCUUGAUUCCUUGUUUAACGUCAAGAAGCAUUCCAUUCAUAUUGCUUUCCUUGGCGACUCUCUCAUCCGGAAUCAGUUCUUGAGCUUUACUUCGUUGAUUCCUAACUACGAUCGAAACCUGCCGCUCCACCUAAAAGAAUACGAGUCUCAUUUUCAUGAAAAUCGAAACAUGCACAGUCCACUUUUAAACGACCUACUAGUUUCUUUUCGAUGGCGAGCUUUAGUAAAUGACGAAUUGCUAACUGAUUUCAGAAUGUGGAAUAUGCAUACUGUAGAUGAUCAUGGAACACCGGAUUUCAUUUUUUUGGGAUCAACAGCUCACAAUAUGUUACAGAACAGUAAAAAGACAUACAUGGAAAAAAUAGAAACAGACUUGUUGCCAGUACUUCAAAAUUUUUUGAGAAUUCAUCCGAGGAAGCAAAUAUUUUGGGUAAUUCAAAGCCCAACAACAGAUAUGUUGAGACCCAUUUCUGGACCUAACAAUCAUAUUAUUCACAAUACAAAAAUUGAUCAAUACAAUUCUAUUAUACGUACGAUAUUCAAAGAAAAUUUCAAACAACGCUUAACAGCACUAAUAUUACAGGGGUACACGAAUUGCUGUAUGGGAUUCACUGCUUCCCGCCAUCGAGGAGUACAUACGCAGUUGCUUCCUCGGACAAUUUUACCAGUACGAUGUUAAUGGAUAUAAACUAUGUGAUGACUUUAUUCAUCCCGGACACCAAGUUCUAUCAAUGGGGAACAAAGCUGAAUACCUGAGGAUUAAAAUGUGACUGUCGUCGACUUUCCAAGGAAAAAAUUUAUGUCAAAAAGCCUGAGGCAACCGCAAAUUCACAAUUUUCGAAAUGACGUAUGAAAACACGUUUUCGUCUGCAGCUUCCACAGUUCUGCAUGGAAGGCCAUCAAAUUACACAUAAGACACCUUGAAGUCAUACUGUACACUACAGAAUUUUUUGUGGUUUUUUUUAAAGAAGGUGGCACUAAUUAAUGCCAUUUGGUCAACUUGCCCCUGGGACAACUAACCCCUGUCUCCCCUACUAUACAUAUGCAUGUAUAAUGCCUAUGCCGACAUGCCCCAUGUUGCAAUGUAUCAACUUGCCCCAACCCGGGGUUUAUUCAAAUAAAAAAUUUUAUUACUCCUUUA